GUGGGGAAUUUUGGACAAUGGGCGCAAGCCUGAUCCAGCAAUGCCGCGUGCAGGAAGAAGGCCUUCGGGUUGUAAACUGCUUUUGUACGGAACGAAACGGUCCUGGUUAAUACCUGGGGCUAAUGACGGUACCGUAAGAAUAAGCACCGGCUAACUACGUGCCAGCAGCCGCGGUAAUACGUAGGGUGCAAGCGUUAAUCGGAAUUACUGGGCGUAAAGCGUGCGCAGGCGGUUUUGUAAGACAGGCGUGAAAUCCCCGGGCUCAACCUGGGGAUUGCGCUUGUGACUGCAAGGCUGGAGUGCGGCAGAGGGGGAUGGAAUUCCGCGUGUAGCAGUGAAAUGCGUAGAUAUGCGGAGGAACACCGAUGGCGAAGGCAAUCCCCUGGGCCUGCACUGACGCUCAUGCACGAAAGCGUGGGGAGCAAACAGGAUUAGAAACCCGUGUAGUCC
rnacentral:rRNA from 1 species